UACGUAGGGGGCUAGCGUUGUCCGGAAUCAUUGGGCGUAAAGAGCGUGUAGGCGGCCCGGUAAGUCCGCUGUGAAAGUCGGGGGCUCAACCCUCGAAUGCCGGUGGAAACUGUCGGGCUCGAGUCCGGAAGAGGCGAGUGGAAUUCCUGGUGUAGCGGUGAAAUGCGCAGAUAUCAGGAGGAACACCAAUGGCGAAGGCAGCUCGCUGGGACGGUACUGACGCUGAGACGCGAAAGCGUGGGGAGCAAACAGG
rnacentral:rRNA from 1 species